rnacentral:rRNA from 1 species
UACAGAGGUCCCAAGCGUUGUUCGGAUUCAUUGGGCGUAAAGGGUGCGUAGGCGGCGCGGUAAGUCGGGUGUGAAAUCUCGGAGCUUAACUCCGAAACUGCAUUCGAUACUGGCGUGCUUGAGGACUGGAGAGGAGACUGGAAUUUACGGUGUAGCAGUGAAAUGCGUAGAUAUCGUAAGGAAGACCAGUGGCGAAGGCGGGUCUCUGGACAGUUCCUGACACUGAGACACGAAGGCCAGGGGAGCAAACGGG